rnacentral:rRNA from 1 species
AAGAGUGACAGGUGGUGCAUGGUUGUCGUCAGCUCGUGUCGUGAGAUGUUGGGUUAAGUCCCGCAACGAGCGCAACCCUUAAGCUUAGUUGCCAUCAUUAAGUUGGGCACUUAAGUUGACUGCCGGUGACAAACCGGAGGAAGGUGGGGAUGACGUCAAAUCAUCAUGCCCCUUAUGAUUUGGGCUACACACGUGCUACAAUGGACAAUACAAAGGGUAGCGAAACCGCGAGGUCAAGCAAAUCCCAUAAAGUUGUUCUCAGUUCGGAUUGUAGUCUGCAACUCGACUAUAUGAAGAUGGAAUCGCU